GGUCCCUUAGCUCAGUUGGUUAGAGCAACUGACUCAUAAUCAGUGGGUCGCAGGAUCAUGCCCUGCAGGGACCA
rnacentral:tRNA from 1 species